UGACAACCCAGAGGCUCUAAGACAGGUGUCCCCAACCCUAGUCUGUGGCUCAUUAGGAACAGGUUGCACAGCAGGAGGUGAGUGAGUGGUGGGCGAGUGAGCAAAGCUUCAUCUGUGUUUUUACAACCAUCACUCGCAUUACUGCCCGAGCUGUGCCUCCUGUCAGAUCAGCGCAGCAUUAAAUUCUCAUAGGAGUGGGAACUCUAUUGUGAACUGAGCAAGUGAGGGAUCUAGGUUGCAUGCUUCUUAUGAGAAUCUAAUGCCUGAUGAUCUGUCACUGUCUCCUAUCUCAUCUAAUUGCAGGAAAACAAGCUCAGGGCUCCCACUGAUUGUACAUUAUGAGACGGAGUCUUGCUAUGUUGCCCAGGCUGGUCUUGAACUCCUCACCUCAAGCGAUCCUCUCGUCUUGGCCUCCCAAGUGUCAGGAUUACAGGCAUGUGCUAUCACACCCAACCUGAUACAUUGCCUUUAUAAAUUUUUUUUUCUUUAUUCUAAAAACCAGAAAAAACAAAACUGGAUACAUGUGCAGAACAUGCAGACCAAGUGUGUUGGGGACUUGAGAUGCGUACAUGAGUGUUUGUGAUGUUUCCUGCCGAAAGCACAGGUGAGACGUGGUCUUGUAACACAGUGGUUAAGAAUGUGACUUUGGAGCCAGCCUGCUAGGGGCUGAAUUCUGACUCAGCCAUUUACUAACUGUGUGACCUUAGGUAAGUCAUUUACCUUCUCUGUCCCUCAGUUUCAUCUCGGUAAAGUAGGGAUAAUGAUAGCACCUAUUUUAUAGGGUUAUUGUGAGGAAUAAAUCCAAGUAAAAUGCUUAGAAUAGUAACUGAAACAUAGCACUCAUUAGGAAUGCUUUAAUUUUCAU
rnacentral:antisense_RNA from 1 species